UCUACAGGAGAUGAUACAACUUUUAAAGCCAUUCCGCCGGGUUUAGUGUAAAUGCCGUACAACAUGUUUGGACUCGACGGGAGUAAAGUUGGACUUACGAAACAAAUCGACUUACGAACACACCUCUGGAACCCAGCUCGUUGCAGGGCAACCACGGCCUGGUGGGCAUAGCGCACGGCCUCGUGCAGUGGAGUGCUGCCCCAGCUGUGCACAACGACAGCAGUGAACACAAUGCUGCCGCGCGGCGCGGGAGCCGCCGUCACCUGCGGAGGGAGGCGACGUCCCCCCGGUAUGCGGCCAGCAGCAGGUUCAUGAUCCGGUAUCCCUGGCGGCACGGCCAGAGGAAGAGAGCACCGGGCCAACACCGGGUCAGCACCGAGUCAUCACCGGGUCAGCACCGAGUCAUCACCGGGUGAUCACCGGGUGAUCACCGGUCAUCACCGGGUGAUCACCGGGUGAUCACCGGGUCAUCACCGGGUGAUCACCGGGUGAUCACCGGGUCAGCACCGGGUCAGCACCGGGUCAGCACGGGGUUAUCACCGAGUCAUCACCGGGUGAUCACCGGGUCAGCACCGGGUCAGCACCGGGUCAUCACCGGGUCAGCACUGAGUCAUCACCGGGUGAUCACCAGGUCAGCACCGGGUCAUCACCGAGUCAUCACCGAGUCAUCACCGGGUGAUCACCGGGUGAUCACCGGGUCAUCACCGAGUCAUCACCGGGUGAUCACCGAGUCAUCACGGAGUCAUCACCGGGUGAUCACCGGUCUGAAACCCAGAAGUGCCCUUCAGCAACCCCAGUCACGUAAGCCGGACUCUUCCACAUUUGAAAACGAAUUUCUUUAGAACUGCUUUUUGUCUUUAGUUCGCUGUCCUUCCCCGACACCUCCGAUUAGUUGCGGUUGGCUACGUACGGUGCGAAAGAAGUCCAACAUACGUACGUACAUAAAGCAUGGAGAGAUUUAGGCAUCAUAAUAGACGUUCAUUGAAAGUAACAUUUCACUCGUACAGAGAUUUAAACCCAGGUUGCGUUACAUUGGGUUUCUGUUGGGACGAGGCGGGCCAAAAUUCGUGAGGUAAUCUGCUCACCAUCCCAUGGUUUGUUUCCAAAAUCCCACACGUUUUUAGUGAGUCAGUCUCCUGUACUUCAACCAGGGGACGAGAUCAGCCCAUCCGCACCUCCGAUUAGCGCGGAUGGCUACGUACGGUGCGAAAUAAGUGCAACGUACAUUCACUGUGAACACAAUGCUCACGUGCGCGUCCCAGGGAUACCUCCGAUUCGUGAGACCAAGACGACAGGGGUCUGGGCCGACGGGGCGCGCUGUCAUAUGGGUGCAGCGCAAACGUUCGCACGAACUCCUGCGCACAGACCGCACCACGUGCUGUCACCACCGCAGAGCGGACCCGACCAACCACAGCCUCCAACUCGCCGUGCACACGCUGCAGUGCCCCCCACCCCCCCCCCCCCCCCCGUGUCACCCCAUCGUUUGCCCGACUGGAGGCACAAAUGGAAUCCAACUGGCGAACUGAAACCUCCGAUGGGAUCCGUGGGUCCUCGCCCGAUUAAAAUAAAACUUUAACUAACUAAUUCUAGAUUUGAAGCUUUCGUGACUGCAAGGAUCCAUACUCUUUGGUUCUA